AACGAACGCUGGCGGCAUGCCUAACACAUGCAAGUCGAACGAGACCUUCGGGUCUAGUGGCGCACGGGUGCGUAACGCGUGGGAAUCUGCCCUUGGGUUCGGAAUAACAGUUAGAAAUGGCUGCUAAUACCGGAUGAUGACUUCGGUCCAAAGAUUUAUCGCCCAAGGAUGAGCCCGCGUAGGAUUAGCUAGUUGGUAGGGUAAGGCCUACCAAGGCGACGAUCCUUAGCUGGUCUGAGAGGAUGAUCAGCCACACUGGGACUGAGACACGGCCCAGACUCCUACGGGAGGCAGCAGUGGGGAAUAUUGGACAAUGGGCGAAAGCCUGAUCCAGCAAUGCCGCGUGAGUGAUGAAGGCCCUAGGGUUGUAAAGCUCUUUUACCCGGGAUGAUAAUGACAGUACCGGGAGAAUAAGCUCCGGCUAACUCCGUGCCAGCAGCCGCCGUAAGAC
rnacentral:rRNA from 1 species